AUUGAACGCUGGCGGCAUGCCUUACACAUGCAAGUCGAACGGUAACAGGUCUUCGGAUGCUGACGAGUGGCGAACGGGUGAGUAAUACAUCGGAACGUGCCUAGUAGUGGGGGAUAACUACUCGAAAGAGUGGCUAAUACCGCAUGAGAUCUACGGAUGAAAGCAGGGGAUCGCAAGACCUUGUGCUACUAGAGCGGCCGAUGGCAGAUUAGGUAGUUGGUGGGAUAAAAGCUUACCAAGCCGACGAUCUGUAGCUGGUCUGAGAGGGCGAUCAGCCACACUGGGACUGAGACACGGCCCAGACUCCUACGGGAGGCAGCAGUGGGGAAUUUUGGACAAUGGGCGAAAGCCUGAUCCAGCAAUGCCGCGUGCAGGAUGAAGGCCUUCGGGUUGUAAACUGCUUUUGUACGGAACGAAAAGCUCUGGGUUAAUACCCUGGGGUCAUGACGGUACCGUAAGAAUAAGCACCGGCUAACUACGUGCCAGCCGCCGCGGUAACAC
rnacentral:rRNA from 1 species